rnacentral:rRNA from 2 species
CUGGCGGCGUGCCUAAUACAUGCAAGUCGAACGAGUUCUCGUUGAUGAUCGGUGCUUGCACCGAGAUUCAACAUGGAACGAGUGGCGGACGGGUGAGUAACACGUGGGUAACCUGCCCUUAAGUGGGGGAUAACAUUUGGAAACAGAUGCUAAUACCGCAUAGAUCCAAGAACCGCAUGGUUCUUGGCUGAAAGAUGGCGUAAGCUAUCGCUUUUGGAUGGACCCGCGGCGUAUUAGCUAGUUGGUGAGGUAAUGGCUCACCAAGGCGAUGAUACGUAGCCGAACUGAGAGGUUGAUCGGCCACAUUGGGACUGAGACACGGCCCAAACUCCUACGGGAGGCAGCAGUAGGGAAUCUUCCACAAUGGACGCAAGUCUGAUGGAGCAACGCCGCGUGAGUGAAGAAGGCUUUCGGGUCGUAAAACUCUGUUGUUGGAGAAGAAUGGUCGGCAGAGUAACUGUUGUCGGCGUGACGGUAUCCAACCAGAAAGCCACGGCUAACUACGUGCCAGCAGCCGCGGUAAUACGUAGGUGGCAAGCGUUAUCCGGAUUUAUUGGGCGUAAAGCGAGCGCAGGCGGUUUUUUAAGUCUGAUGUGAAAGCCCUCGGCUUAACCGAGGAAGCGCAUCGGAAACUGGGAAACUUGAGUGCAGAAGAGGACAGUGGAACUCCAUGUGUAGCGGUGAAAUGCGUAGAUAUAUGGAAGAACACCAGUGGCGAAGGCGGCUGUCUGGUCUGUAACUGACGCUGAGGCUCGAAAGCAUGGGUAGCGAACAGGAUUAGAUACCCUGGUAGUCCAUGCCGUAAACGAUGAAUGCUAGGUGUUGGAGGGUUUCCGCCCUUCAGUGCCGCAGCUAACGCAUUAAGCAUUCCGCCUGGGGAGUACGACCGCAAGGUUGAAACUCAAAGGAAUUGACGGGGGCCCGCACAAGCGGUGGAGCAUGUGGUUUAAUUCGAAGCAACGCGAAGAACCUUACCAGGUCUUGACAUCUUUUGAUCACCUGAGAGAUCAGGUUUCCCCUUCGGGGGCAAAAUGACAGGUGGUGCAUGGUUGUCGUCAGCUCGUGUCGUGAGAUGUUGGGUUAAGUCCCGCAACGAGCGCAACCCUUAUGACUAGUUGCCAGCAUUUAGUUGGGCACUCUAGUAAGACUGCCGGUGACAAACCGGAGGAAGGUGGGGAUGACGUCAAAUCAUCAUGCCCCUUAUGACCUGGGCUACACACGUGCUACAAUGGAUGGUACAACGAGUUGCGAGACCGCGAGGUCAAGCUAAUCUCUUAAAGCCAUUCUCAGUUCGGACUGUAGGCUGCAACUCGCCUACACGAAGUCGGAAUCGCUAGUAAUCGCGGAUCAGCACGCCGCGGUGAAUACGUUCCCGGGCCUUGUACACACCGCCCGUCACACCAUGAGAGUUUGUAACACCCGAAGCCGGUGGCGUAACCCUUUUAGGGAGCGAGCCGUCUAAGGUGGGACAAAUGAUUA